rnacentral:rRNA from 1 species
AGAGUUCAUAUCGACGGCGGUGUUUGGCACCUCGAUGUCGGCUCAUCACAUCCUGGGGCUGAAGUAGGUCCCAAGGGUAUGGCUGUUCGCCAUUUAAAGUGGUACGCGAGCUGGGUUUAGAACGUCGUGAGACAGUUCGGUCCCUAUCUGCCGUGGGCGCUGGAGAAUUGAGGGGGGCUGCUCCUAGUACGAGAGGACCGGAGUGGACGCAUCACUGGUGUUCGGGUUGUCAUGCCAAUGGCACUGCCCGGUAGCUAAAUGCGGAAGAGAUAAGUGCUGAAAGCAUCUAAGCACGAAACUUGCCCCGAGAUGAGUUCUCCCUGAGACUNCAUAAUGUCGCAAGACCAAAGUGGGGGACCUUCGGGCCUCAUGCCAUCAGAUGUGCCCAGAUGGGAUUAGCUAGUAGGUGGGGUAACGGCUCACCUAGGCGACGAUCCCUAGCUGGUCUGAGAGGAUGACCAGCCACACUGGAACUGAGACACGGUCCAGACUCCUACGGGAGGCAGCAGUGGGGAAUAUUGCACAAUGGGCGCAAGCCUGAUGCAGCCAUGCCGCGUGUGUGAAGAAGGCCUUCGGGUUGUAAAGCACUUUCAGCGGGGAGGAAGGCGAUAAGGUUAAUAACCUUGUCGAUUGACGUUACCCGCAGAAGAAGCACCGGCUAACUCCGUGCCAGCAGCCGCGGUAAUACGGAGGGUGCAAGCGUUAAUCGGAAUUACUGGGCGUAAAGCGCACGCAGGCGGUCUGUCAAGUCGGAUGUGAAAUCCCCGGGCUCAACCUGGGAACUGCAUUCGAAACUGGCAGGCUAGAGUCUUGUAGAGGGGGGUAGAAUUCCAGGUGUAGCGGUGAAAUGCGUAGAGAUCUGGAGGAAUACCGGUGGCGAAGGCGGCCCCCUGGACAAAGACUGACGCUCAGGUGCGAAAGCGUGGGGAGCAAACAGGAUUAGAUACCCUGGUAGUCCACGCCGUAAACGAUGUCGAUUUGGAGGUUGUGCCCUUGAGGCGUGGCUUCCGGAGCUAACGCGUUAAAUCGACCGCCUGGGGAGUACGGCCGCAAGGUUAAAACUCAAAUGAAUUGACGGGGGCCCGCACAAGCGGUGGAGCAUGUGGUUUAAUUCGAUGCAACGCGAAGAACCUUACCUGGUCUUGACAUCCACAGAACUUUGCAGAGAUGGUUUGGUGCCUUCGGGAACUGUGAGACAGGUGCUGCAUGGCUGUCGUCAGCUCGUGUUGUGAAAUGUUGGGUUAAGUCCCGCAACGAGCGCAACCCUUAUCCUUUGUUGCCAGCGGUUCGGCCGGGAACUCAAAGGAGACUGCCAGUGAUAAACUGGAGGAAGGUGGGGAUGACGUCAAGUCAUCAUGGCCCUUACGACCAGGGCUACACACGUGCUACAAUGGCAUAUACAAAGAGAAGCGACCUCGCGAGAGCAAGCGGACCUCAUAAAGUAUGUCGUAGUCCGGAUUGGAGUCUGCAACUCGACUCCAUGAAGUCGGAAUCGCUAGUAAUCGUAGAUCAGAAUGCUACGGUGAAUACGUUCCCGGGCCUUGUACACACCGCCCGUCACACCAUGGGAGUGGGUUGCAAAAGAAGUAGGUAGCUUAACCUUCGGGAGGGCGCUUACCACUUUGUGAUUCAUGACUGGGGUGAAGUCGUAACAAGGUAACCGUAGGGGAACCUGCGGUUGGAUCACCU